rnacentral:rRNA from 1 species
UACGGGGGGAGCAAGCGUUGUUCGGAUUUACUGGGCGUAAAGGGCGCGUAGGCGGUCAGCACAAGUCAGUUGUGAAAUCUCCGGGCUUAACUCGGAAAGGUCAACUGAUACUGUGCGACUAGAGUGCGGAAGGGGCAACUGGAAUUCUCGGUGUAGCGGUGAAAUGCGUAGAUAUCGAGAGGAACACCUGCGGCGAAGGCGGCAUCCUGGACCAACACUGACGCUGAGGAGCGAAAGCCAGGGGAGCAAACGGG